rnacentral:SRP_RNA from 1 species
GCCGUCAUCACCGUCGACGCCGCCACCGCCGCGGCCACGCACGCCGUCCUCCCCAUAACACUCACGGCGGAAGGGGCUGGGGGUUCGCUCGACCACGACCAUGCGUAUUCGUAUACCAGCGCGCCCGUGGCGGGGUACGCGCCCACCGACCACGGCGCGCCAGUCGCCGCGUGGGCACACUCAUACCCGGUGAAAAAGGGCGGCAAG